rnacentral:rRNA from 1 species
UAGGGAAUCUUCCGCAAUGGACGAAAGUCUGACGGAGCAACGCCGCGUGAGUGAUGAAGGUCCUCGGAUCGUAAAACUCUGUUGUCAGGGAAGAACAAGUACCGGAGUAACUGCCGGUACCUUGACGGUACCUGACCAGAAAGCCACGGCUACCUACGUGCCAGCAGCCGCGGUAAUACGUAGGUGGCAAGCGUUGUCCGGAAUUAUUGGGCGUAAAGCGCGCGCAGGCGGUCCUUUAAGUCUGAUGUGAAAUCUCGCGGCUCAACCGCGAGCGGCCAUUGGAAACUGGGGGACUUGAGUGCAGAAGAGGAAAGCGGAAUUCCACGUGUAGCGGUGAAAUGCGUAGAGAUGUGGAGGAACACCAGUGGCGAAGGCGGCUUUCUGGUCUGUAACUGACGCUGAGGCGCGAAAGCGUGGGGAGCAAA